rnacentral:rRNA from 1 species
AUUGAACGCUGGCGGAAUGCUUCACACAUGCAAGUCGAACGGCAGCACGGACUUCGGUCUGGUGGCGAGUGGCGAACGGGUGAGUAAUGUAUCGGAACGUGCCCAGUCGUGGGGGAUAACGUAGUGAAAAUUACGCUAAUACCGCAUACGAUCUAUGGAUGAAAGCGGGGGAUCGCAAGACCGCGCGCGAGUGGAGCGGGCGAUAUCAGAUUAGGUAGUUGGUGGGGUAAAGGCCCACCAAGCCAACGAUCUGUAGCUGGUCUGAGAGGACGACCAGCCACACUGGAACUGAGACACGGUCCAGACUCCUACGGGAGGCAGCAGUGGGGAAUUUUGGACAAUGGGCGAAAGCCUGAUCCAGCCAUUCCGCGUGCAGGAUGAAGGCCCUCGGGUUGUAAACUGCUUUUGUACAGAACGAAAAGGUUUCUACUAAUACUAGGAGCUCAUGACGGUACUGUAAGAAUAAGCACCGGCUAACUACGUGCCAGCCGCCGCAGUAA